rnacentral:rRNA from 1 species
CGCCUGUUUAUCAAAAACAUGUCUUUUUGAUUAAUAAUUUAAAGUCUGGUCUGCCCACUGAUUAAAUUAAUUAAAGGGCUGCAGUAUUUUGACUGUACAAAGGUAGCAUAAUAAUUAGUCUUUUAAUUGAUGACUUGUAUGAAUGAUUGGAUAAAAUAUAAUCUGUCUCUUAAUAAAUUUAUAGAAUUUAAUUUUUUAUUUAAAAAGUUAAAAUAAUUUUAAAAGACGAGAAGACCCUAUAGAGUUUAAUAAUUUUAUAAAUUAAAAUUAUAUUUAUAAAUUUAAUUAAAAAUUAUAUAAUUAUUUUAUUGGGGUGAUAAAAAAAUUAAUAAAACUUUUUUUAAAUAUUAACAAAAAUAAUUGAAUAUUUGAUCCAAUUUUAUUUUGAUUAUAAGAUUAAAUUACCUUAGGGAUAACAGCGUAAUUUUUUUUUUUAGUUCUUAUAAAAAAGAAAGUUUGCGACCUCGAUGUUGGAUUAAGAUAAAAUUUAAAUGCAAAAGUUUAAAACUUUGAUCUGUUCGAUCAUUAAAAUCUUACAUGAUCUGAGUUCAAACCGGAG